GCCCAGUGGUGUUUCUGGAGAGGGAUUCCUUCAGAAAUGGAGAAGACAGAAAGCUGUGGAGGCAGAUAUUUGCAGCAUGUUCGAGUGAGCAUGAUGACCACAAGUGUGUGUCGAACUUUUCAUGACCUGAUGACUGUGUUUCCCAAUCCUGAUCCUGGAGAACCCCAGCACUGCACGGUUUUGGUGUCUCUCUUAUCUGCCUUGGAGUCUUCACUGAUGAGCUGAUGAGUUGAAUCAGGUGUGUUUGAUCAGGGAGACAUCUCAAAUGUGCAGUGUUGGGGUUCUCCAGGACCAGGAUUGGGAGCCACUGCCUUAUGGGACACUUAUAUGUUUACAGAGAUUUUUAAUAUCUAAUUAUCAAUAUUUCACAUACUGUACAUUGGACAGCUU